GACGAACGCUGGCGGCGUGCCUAAUACAUGCAAGUCGAACGCUUCUUUCCUCCCGAGUGCUUGCACUCAAUUGGAAAGAGGAGUGGCGGACGGGUGAGUAACACGUGGGUAACCUACCCAUCAGAGGGGGAUAACACUUGGAAACAGGUGCUAAUACCGCAUAACAGUUUAUGCCGCAUGGCAUAAGAGUGAAAGGCGCUUUCGGGUGUCGCUGAUGGAUGGACCCGCGGUGCAUUAGCUAGUUGGUGAGGUAACGGCUCACCAAGGCCACGAUGCAUAGCCGACCUGAGAGGGUGAUCGGCCACACGGGGACUGAGACACGGCCCAGACUCCUACGGGAGGCAGCAGUAGGGAAUCUUCGGCAAUGGACGAAAGUCUGACCGAGCAACGCCGCGUGAGUGAAGAAGGUUUUCGGAUCGUAAAACUCUGUUGUUAGAGAAGAACAAGGACGUUAGUAACUGAACGUCCCCUGACGGUAUCUAACCAGAAAGCCACGGCUAACUACGUG
rnacentral:rRNA from 1 species